UACGUAGGUGGCAAGCGUUGUCCGGAAUUAUUGGGCGUAAAGCGCGCGCAGGUGGUCCUUUAAGUCUGAUGUGAAAGCCCACGGCUCAACCGUGGAGGGUCAUUGGAAACUGGGGGACUUGAGUGCAGAAGAGGAUAGUGGAAUUCCAAGUGUAGCGGUGAAAUGCGUAGAGAUUUGGAGGAACACCAGUGGCGAAGGCGACUUCCUGGCCUGUUCUUGACGCUGAGGCGCGAAAGCUAGGGGAGCAAACGGG
rnacentral:rRNA from 1 species